UUUGGAAUAGUUCACCAGUGAAGUCAUCUCAACCAGCACAGGGCCUUGACUCCUAACAACAAUCACACGAACUUGGAAGAGGAGCCUUCCCCAGCUGAACCUUCACUUGAGACCUCAUCCUUGGCCAUCAUCUACAUCUGGAUUCAUGAUACAGAGAAACCGUGAGUACUGAUGACACUAGCAGUCCAGCCUGCAUGGAUGCUGACAUGGAUGCUGUCUCCCAUUCUUACCACUGGAUGUGAAGAAAUGCUAGAUGCAAUCCAUCCAAUCUGUACUCGACUCUCAAUUGCAUCUUCUCAACUCACAGUGACUUCCAAAGUCCAUGACACACCACAGCCUGGAACAUCUCCCAAGGUGGUAUCUUGAGGCAAUGGUAGAGCUCAUGUCACAGUAUUGUAUGUCUCAG
rnacentral:lncRNA from 1 species